rnacentral:rRNA from 1 species
GAUGAACGCUGGCGGCGUGCCUAAUACAUGCAAGUCGAGCGAACGGACGAGAAUCUUGCUUUUCUGAUGUUAGCGGCGGACGGGUGAGUAACACGUGGAAAACCUACCUAUAAGACUGGGAUAACUUCGGGAAACCGGAUCUAAUACCGGAUAAUAUUUUGAACCGCAUGGUUCAAAAGUGAAAGACGGUCUUGCUGUCACUUAUAGAUGGUUCCGCGCUGCAUUAGCUAGUUGGUAAGGUAACGGCUUACCAAGGCAACGAUGCAUAGCCGACCUGAGAGGGUGAUAGGCCACACUGGAACUGAGACACGGUCCAGACGCCUAAGGGAGGCAGCAGUAGGGAAUCUUCCGCAAUGGGCGAAAGCCUGACGGAGCAACGCCGCGUGAGUGAUGAAGGUCUUCGGAUCGUAAAACUCUGUUAUUAGGGAAGAACAGAUGUGUAAGUAAAUGUGCACAUCUUGACGGUACCUAAUCAGAAAGCAACGGCUAACUACGUG